GGGGCAGAUAUGGUUUCGACAGAUUAUGUCUGUAUAUGACUGCAAGUGGUAGGAAUACCUUAAAUUCAACCUUAAAAUAAAAUGACAAAGAGUCAUAUAAUUUCGCUUCAAAUGCUUUAGCAUUUGCCUAAUAGAAGGUUAAGAAGCACUCUUACUUACUUUUAUCUAUAGGGUAAACUAAGGGUUAAUAAAUAUAGAUUAUAUUAUUGUAUUUCCUAAGUUACAAUAAUGAAAUUUUAUUAGGAUAGUUAAGAAUCAGGUACGUUAUAGCCGUCUUCUUAAUGAAAUUAUAAAUCUAACUAAACUUGUAGACGUUGUAUAACAGAGUAGUUUGGACAGGAGUUCGAUUCUCCUCUGCUCCACCA
rnacentral:tmRNA from 2 species